GCCUCUGUGGUGUAACGGGUAGCACGGCGGUCUGGGAAACUGUGGGCCCGGGUUCGAGUCCCGGCAGAGGCA